UUUUAUGAGAGUUUGAUCCUGGCUCAGGACGAACGCUGGCGGCGUGCCUAAUACAUGCAAGUCGAACGCUUCUUUUUCCACCGGAGCUUGCUCCACCGGAAAAAGAGGAGUGGCGAACGGGUGAGUAACACGUGGGUAACCUGCCCAUCAGAAGGGGAUAACACUUGGAAACAGGUGCUAAUACCGUAUAACAAUCGAAACCGCAUGGUUUUGAUUUGAAAGGCGCUUUCGGGUGUCACUGAUGGAUGGACCCGCGGUGCAUUAGCU
rnacentral:rRNA from 1 species